rnacentral:rRNA from 1 species
GGGUGAGUAAUGCCUAGGAAUCUGCCUGGUAGUGGGGGAUAACGUUCGGAAACGGACGCUAAUACCGCAUACGUCCUACGGGAGAAAGCAGGGGACCUUCGGGCCUUGCGCUAUCAGAUGAGCCUAGGUCGGAUUAGCUAGUUGGUGGGGUAAUGGCUCACCAAGGCGACGAUCCGUAACUGGUCUGAGAGGAUGAUCAGUCACACUGGAACUGAGACACGGUCCAGACUCCUACGGGAGGCAGCAGUGGGGAAUAUUGGACAAUGGGCGAAAGCCUGAUCCAGCCAUGCCGCGUGUGUGAAGAAGGUCUUCGGAUUGUAAAGCACUUUAAGUUGGGAGGAAGGGCAGUAAAUUAAUACUUUGCUGUUUUGACGUUACCGACAGAAUAAGCACCGGCUAACUCUGUGCCAGCAGCCGCGGUAAUACAGAGGGUGCAAGCGUUAAUCGGAAUUACUGGGCGUAAAGCGCGCGUAGGUGGUUAGUUAAGUUGGAUGUGAAAUCCCCGGGCUCAACCUGGGAACUGCAUUCAAAACUGACUGACUAGAGUAUGGUAGAGGGUGGUGGAAUUUCCUGUGUAGCGGUGAAAUGCGUANAUAUAGGAAGGAACACCAGUGGCG